rnacentral:siRNA from 1 species
AGAUGGUUUGGAUGGAGGUUCCA